rnacentral:lncRNA from 1 species
AUCUGGGCCGUCCGUGCGAUUAAAUCUGGGCCGUCCGUGCGCGCGAUUGAUCUAGGCCGUCCGAUCGCGCGCACGCGGAUCGCCAACGUGGCCCGUCCCCGGUCGACGUGGUUUUGCCACGUGGCAGGUCCUGGUUGGCCAGGACUGCUGACUGGGUCUGCUGACGUGGCUGCUGACGUGGCACGCGCGUUUUUUUUUCUCUUGUUCUUAAAUUUCCCCGGGCGCUACAACUCUCCCCCCCUUAAAGAAAUUUGGUCCCCAAAUUUGCCUCGUUACUCUUGAUCGAACAGAUGGGGAUAUUGGGCCCUAAAUUCUGAUUCCAGUUCCCAGGUGGCCUCCCUGGGCGUGUGGUUCUACCACACGACUUUUACAAAUGAUAUUUCUAGGUUGCGGAGUAUUCUGCUCUCUCGGUCCGUGAUA